rnacentral:lncRNA from 1 species
CUCAGACACUUAUCUCUUGGCUCUCUGAUGCUUGAAGCAUAUAACAGAAGACAGAAUACACCCCUUAGUCUCCAGAAACCUGCCUGGGAACCUGGUCUACCACUCCUUUGCCCUAUCUCAGAUCAAGGGCUAUAUUAUCUCCUCAUAUCAAGUCAAGGUGAUGCUACUGAAGGCUUUGACAGCUAUUUCCAGGAUUAAAUAGUGGCAUUAAACAGUGACACAGCUGUGGAAAUCCGAGGACUUUGUUUAAAACAGCCAGCAUCCCACAAAGACGGCAUCCUAUCUUCUACAAGAACGAUCUCAAUGGCCUGAAGGAUCAAGAGCACAACUCCUGCGGGGAUGAACCCCUCAGCAGCCCAGACUUCGCCCCAGCCCUCCCUCUCAGUACUUCUUCCACUCACUGGCCUCCAGUGCUACAACUAGACUCAUGGCUCCAGGAUCUUGCAAUCCACCUCAGGCUUAUUCUGUUCUGAUUGUGGGUCUGUUGUCAUUUCUGCAGGAAGCCCGGCCUGGAGACCCAGGCUUUUUGAGAAGGAACCCCUGAGAGGUGAAUCUCCCAGUAAAGUGGGGUGUUCCUUCUGAUGGUAGGUCAGAUGCAAAGAGGUCUCAGGAGAAGGGCAUGUUGCUU